GGAAUGUGCAAACGUUAUUCGGAAUCACUGGGCUUAAAGAGUCCGUAGGCGGCCUGUUAGGUGAGGUGUGAAAUCCCUCGGCCCAACCGAGGAAUUGCGCUUCAAACCGGCAGGCUAGAGGAGGAUAGAGGUGGGCGGAACUGAUGGUGGAGCGGUGAAAUGCGUUGAUAUCAUCAGGAACACCGGAGGCGAAAGCGGUCCACUGGGUCCUUUCUGACGCUGAGGGACGAAAGCUAGGGGAGCGAACGGGAUUAGAUACCCCGGUAGUCCUAGCCUUAAACGAUGAGCACUAGACCGAAGAACCUCCACGGUUUUUUGGUCGUAGCGAAAGUGUUAAGUGCUCCGCCUGGGGAGUAUGGUCGCAAGGCUG
rnacentral:rRNA from 1 species